AAAAAAAAAACUCUCAAAUUCACCUUCGCCUCCAUUUUUAAAUUUCUCAUUAUCAUUCAUUCAUUUCGAUUCUCUAAGCUCACAAAUUAUUUUCGAGAUUCCGAAAUUUCAAAGGUUAAAAUGGAGCCACCGGGAAACGACGUCGUUGCGUUUGAGUCAGCUGAGAAGAUAAUACUCCGGUGGGAUUCCACGGCGUCGGAAGAUGCUAGAGAGAAGAUGAUCUUCGCCGGAGAUCGAUAUGAGAUCGAGCGGUACUUGCAAGCUGUUGAUGAAAUCCAACGGUCCAUGGAGUUUGCUACACUUUCCGAUGACCAGAACAAAGCUAAUAGUGCGAUCCAGAUCGCUAUGGCUCGGCUUGAAGAUGAGUUUCGGAAUAUACUCAUAGCUCAUACGACUCCUAUGGAAGCUGAAUCUCUUACUGACAGUAGUCCUCUGCCUGAAGAAGACUACGAGGAUGACUCGCCGUUGACCAAGGACUUGGAGCAUCAAGAGAGUAACAGCACCUGUAGUUAUCGAUCUACAAAUAGCAUUCGUGAAAUCGAUCUAAUGCCUUCUGAUGCAAUUUACGAUCUCCGAUGCAUCGCUGAGCGAAUGAUUUUGGCCGGAUAUCUUCGGGAGUGUAUUCAGGUGUAUGGCAGUGUACGGAAGUCUGCAGUGGACUCGAGUUUCCGCAAGCUUGGGAUAGAGAAGCUGAGCAUUGGAGAUAUCCAGAGAUUAGAAUGGGAAAUUCUAGAAACGAAGAUCCGGCGGUGGAUACGAGCUGCAAAAGUAUGCGUUCGGAUACUUUUCGCUAGUGAGAAGAAACUCUGUGAGCAAAUCUUCGAAGGUUUAGGUACUGCCACGGACGAUGCUUGUUUCAUGGAGACUAUUAAAGGUCCAGCUAUUCAGCUAUUCAAUUUUGCUGAAGCCAUUAGCAUUAGUCGGAGAUCACCGGAGAAGUUGUUUAAGAUAUUGGAUCUUCAUGAUGCUUUAUCGGAUUUACUAGUGGACAUUGAGAUUGUUUUCGAUUCAAAAUCUUCGGAGUCAAUUAGGGUUCAAGCUGUAGAGAUACUAUCUAGGUUAGCGGAGGCUGCAAGAGGGAUAUUAUCUGAAUUUGAAAAUGCAGUGCUUCGAGAACCUUCCAAGGUUCCUGUACCUGGAGGGACAAUUCAUCCCUUGACUAGGUAUGUUAUGAACUACAUAAGUUUAAUCUCAGACUACAAACAGACCAUGUCUGAAUUGAUUGUCUCAAAGCCAUCAACAGGGUCAAGGUAUUCGAGUGAUCCUAACACUCCUGAUAUGGAUUUUGCGGAGUUAGAAUCACAUACCCCGUUGGCGCUGCAUUUGAUCUGGAUUGCUGUAAUUUUGCAGUUCAAUUUGGAAGGUAAGUCUAAGUGCUAUAGGGAUACUUCAUUGACACAUAUAUUUAUGAUGAACAAUGUACAUUAUAUUGUCCAGAAGAUUAAAGGGUCACCUGAGCUAAGGGAGAUGGUAGGGGAUGAUUGUUUAAGGAAAUUAACAGGGAAAUUUAGGCAAGCAGCUACCAACUACCAGAGAUCAACCUGGGUGAAUGUUUUGCAUUGCUUGCGAGAUGAGGGUUUACAUGUUAAAGGCAGUUUUUCAUCUGGGGUGUCUAAGAGUGCGUUGAGAGAGCGGUUUAAGACCUUCAAUGCUAUGUUUGAAGAGGUACAUAGGACUCAGUCCACCUGGUUGAUACCGGAUACCCAGCUCCGAGAGGAGCUGCGUAUUUCUGUAUCUGAGAAGUUGAUCCCAGCUUAUAGAUCAUUUCUCGGAAGGUUCAGGAGUCAUAUUGAGAGUGGGAGGCAUCCGGAAAACUAUAUCAAGUAUUCCGGUGAGGACAUUGAGACUGCUGUCUUGGAUUUCUUCGAGGGGUACCAAGUUUCACAACACAUAAGAAGAAGAUCUGAAUGAAAGGAUAUAAAUUCCACUAAUUAGAACCUUAGGACAUUCUUUGAAUUUUUUUCUGGAGUCAUUUAGGAGGAGCUGAGGUUCUGGAGUUAAGGUAUUGUCGGGCAAAGCAGAAAAAGAUCAGCUGUAUCUAUGAUAGUCUCCGCCUCUGCCUAAAUGCUCCUGCCCUGUCACCCUCUAAGCCCAUGCAUCUUAUCAGGUGCUUAAUAUAAUCUGAACAUUGAAGGCAACAUUUCUAAGGUCAAUAUCCCUAACAACUGAUUACUUAUUAUCAAACUUGAUUUCAAAAUUCCAUUAACAAUAUCAUAGUUUAUGGUAUUCCCUUGCUUCUUCUGAGCCGAGGGUAAGGUUUGCGUACAUCCUACCCUCCUUAGACCCCACUUGUGGGAUUACAGUAGGUAUAUCGUUGUUGUUGCAUAGUAUUUCCCUUGAUUUAUUCUUACUGCUUACAAGUUAAGGUCUUUAUCAGUGAAAUGAAAACAGUUCUUGAUGAUUUUCCAACUAUAACACUGGAAGUUGUUGCAGUAUGACAAUUUGCUGAUGUAUUUGGUAAAGCACCAUACAAAACUAUUGGAGCUUUUUGCUUAGCUGUGACUUGUGCCCUUUUACUGAUAGGGACAUAGGGUAAGUAGUGCUUGUACUUUACAAAAAACAAUAAAAGAAGGAUAAGUGGUGCUUAUUAGCUGUUGUUGGAGAUCAAGAGAACAUUACCAAUCACUUUAAUUGUUUAAUACUCUCAAACAUGAAUGCUUACCUUAUCUCAUAAAAAGAAGAAUAAUUGAAACUCUUAUAAUUUGCUACAGUUAGAACACAAUAUAAGUGGAUACUUCCUGCUUGCUUUUACUUGAGCAUUGUGUUAAUUUGCUCUCUGUAGUGCUUCAGAUUGUUAGUUUACCCUUUGUAAGUAUAUCAUUUGCAGUUGCAAUCUUUCCACAUAUCUUCAUUUUACAUCGUAUUCAUCGUGUCUCUGUAACGUGCCCUAUACACAGGAGUUCAAGCUAGUCUUUCCUAACAUGAUUUUUUUUCGAAUUCUGCUUCCGUUCAUUUGAAAGGUCAAAUAAGGGUGACACUUCGAUUCAUCAAUAUUCAAUUUUCAAUGGUCUAAGUUUGUCUUCAGCCGCCAAUUACAAGAGAUGUAAUGGUCCACGAAGAUUCAAAUGUAUUCUGGGGAACAAGUCAGAAUGAGUAACAUAGAAUUUUCCCCUAGCUUGUUGUAGGUUUGGUGAAUAAACAAACAAACACUUCAUGAGAUGGUAUAGAGUAUAGAGAACUUGGUUUGUCGACCCCCAAUAUGGAAAAUGCUUUAUUAAUUGAUUAUCUUCUCUCUUUUGGGAAUGUUACUUCGCCACGUUAUAAUAAGGGGCC